AUCGGAGGGAGGGAGUAUAAUAUUCAUCAUCUAGAAACGUGCGACGACCAUAAAAAUCAUAGCUAGAUACUGUAGAUCAUCAUAUUUGAAGUGAUAGCAGUUAGAACAGUAGUUUAUAUGUUUGCCGGAUAAUGCGAAGAAAUUCGAGGCUAUGCGAAAUUGCUCACAAACUGUCGGCACUUUUCUUCUUCAGGUGUUCAUCAAAAGGGCUGGGAAAAAUCGAAUUUACCAAAUCGUGAUGGAAAAAUAUGAGGAUUUGAGUAAGAAGAAAGAAAUCAAAAUUGCUGCUUGUCGAAGAUUCUGAUCAGUUGGUUCAUUUCCACCACAUUCCUAAACCUUUUAGGCCUCCAUAUAACAACACCUCUGUUCUUCAACCACUUAUCGAACAAUCGAAUCGUGUUCCCGACAAGCAAAACCCCCAUCACACCGCACCAC